rnacentral:miRNA from 1 species
CAGUGUCUCUCCAGUGCAACU